rnacentral:tRNA from 1 species
UCUCAUGGUGUAAUGGUUAGCACUCAAUACUCUGAAUCUUGCGAUCCGAGUUCAAAUCACGGUGGAA